rnacentral:rRNA from 1 species
GAAUUUUGCGCAAUGGGCGAAAGCCUGACGCAGUAACGCCGUGUGGAGGAUGAAGGCCUUCGGGUUGUAAACUCCUGUCAGGGGGAACGACGAAGAAAGGUUGAUAAAGCCUUUCCUUCAGACGGUACCCCCAAAGUAAGCCCCGGCUAAUUCCGUGCCAGCCGCCGCGGUAAUACGGACGGGGCAAGCGUUGUGCGGAAUCAUUGGGCGUAAAGGGAGCGUAGGUGGUUCUGUAUGUCUACUGUGAAAGCGUACAGCUCAACUGUAUUUUGUCGGUCGAAACUGCAGGACUUGAGGCUGGGAGGGGCUGGUGGAAUUUCCUGUGUAGCGGUGAAAUGCGUAGAGAUGGGGGAGAACACUCGUGGCGAAGGCGGCCAGCUAGACCAGUUCUGACACUGAGGCGCGACAGCGUGGGGAGCAAACAGG